UGCGUAGGCGGCUUUGCAAGUUGGGUGUGAAAGCCCUCGGCUCAACCGAGGAAUUGCGCUCAAUACUGCCGAGCUGGAGAGAGACAGAGGUAAGCGGAACUAAUGGUGGAGCGGUGAAAUGCGUUGAUAUCAUUAGGAACACCGGUGGCGAAGGCGGCUUACUGGGUCUUUUCUGACGCUGAGGCACGAAAGCCCAGGGGGGAGCGGAACG
rnacentral:rRNA from 1 species